CAGCACUCUGGACUUGCCCUGUUGUCAGAGCCUGCAGUUCCUGGAAUGCCUGGUGCUGCUCUGUCCUGAGCCCUGGUGUCUUGAGACUAGUCUGGAGCCAGCAGGAAGACUGAAUCCAAAGAUCAAAGUUGGUACCGCUGGAAGGGACUUAAAGGACACAACUUGCAUUGCACAAGCAGUGACACAGAGGCCUACAUCAGAGAGGAACUUGUUCCAAGCAAAACAAUCCAGGAACUUUCCUGUGCUACCUACUGAUGGGAUAACGAAGACCAUGCCAGCCUGAGGAUCCUGAGAUUGACCAGACCCCCAGACCCCAGAUCACCCAAUUGAUGUCAUUCCUGAUACCAUUUUUACAUACCUUCCCAUACCCGUCUUUCACCAAGUUUUCUUUAAAAUAAGAGCCUGGAACCCUCAAACCACUUCUCCCACUCUGGGGUGACCUGCAUUCUCCCAUUAAUGUGUUAUCUGCAUUCCUAAAUAAAACUGUCUAUGCCUCUGA